AAGUCGAACGGUAACAGGAAGCAGCUUGCUGCUUCGCUGACGAGUGGCGGACGGGUGAGUAAUGUCUGGGAAACUGCCUGAUGGAGGGGGAUAACUACUGGAAACGGUAGCUAAUACCGCAUAACGUUGCAAGACCAAAGAGGGGGACCUUCGGGCCUCUUGCCAUCGGAUGUGCCCAGAUGGGAUUAGCUUGUUGGUGGGGUAACGGCUCACCAAGGCGACGAUCCCUAGCUGGUCUGAGAGGAUGACCAGCCA
rnacentral:rRNA from 1 species